AGCUUGCUGCUUUGCUGACGAGUGGCGGACGGGUGAGUAAUGUCUGGGAAACUGCCUGAUGGAGGGGGAUAACUACUGGAAACGGUGGCUAAUACCGCAUAACGUCGCAAGACCAAAGAGGGGGACCUUCGGGCCUCUUGCCAUCAGAUGUGCCCAGAUGGGAUUAGCUAGUUGGUGAGGUAACGGCUCACCAAGGCGACGAUCCCUAGCUGGUCUGAGAGGAUGACCAGCCACACUGGAACUGAGACACGGUCCAGACUCCUACGGGAGGCAGCAGUGGGGAAUAUUGCACAAUGGGCGCAAGCCUGAUGCAGCCAUGCCGCGUGUAUGAAGAAGGCCUUCGGGUUGUAAAGUACUUUCAGCGGGGAGGAAGGUGUUGUGGUUAAUAACCACAGCAAUUGACGUUACCCGCAGAAGAAGCACCGGCUAACUCCGUGCCAGCAGCCGCGGUAAUACGGAGGGUGCAAGCGUUAAUCGGAAUUACUGGGCGUAAAGCGCAC
rnacentral:rRNA from 1 species